rnacentral:rRNA from 1 species
CCUACGGGAGGCAGCAGUGGGGAAUAUUGGGCAAUGGGCGCAAGCCUGACCCAGCAACGCCGCGUGAAGGAAGAAGGCUUUCGGGUUGUAAACUUCUUUUCUGAGGGACGAACAAAUGACGGUACCCUUGGAAAUAGCCACGGCUAACCACGGGCCAGCAGCCGCGGUAAGACGUAGGUGGCAAGCGUUAUCCGGAUUUAUUGGGUGGAAAGGGCGGGGAGGCGGGGAUGCAAGUCAGAUGUGAAAACCAAGGGCUCAACCUGGGGCCUGCAUUUGAAACUGUGUUUCUUGAGUGCUGGAGAGGCAAUCGGAAUUCCGUGUGUAGCGGUGAAAUGCGUAGAUAUACGGAGGAACACCAGUGGCGAAGGCGGAUUGCUGGACAGUAACUGACGCUGAGGCGCGAAAGCGUGGGGAGCAAACAGGAGUAGAUACCCGUGUAGUC